AUACAUCUUUAGCUACUUGGCAAAUACAGGGGGAAUCAAUACGUAUAAAUGACUCGUUUCUUGAGCCGUAUCUUCAAGGCCUGAACGACCGGCAAAGUUCGCAAGGGGGCGUUUUACCGCCCUCGCCGCCACCCUUAAGAACCUCGGGUCCUCCACCGCUCGCGUCUUCCUCCAGAUCAAUUUCCCGCGAGUCGCUGAUUUCCUCCAAUGGUGGCUCGGAUGCCAGCAGCGAAAGAAGCGAAGAAGAAGGAUAUGGAGCAACAUGUGAUAUUAGUCUUAUGGAACGUUUGGUGCUGUCGCAUCCCAUCUGGUUCUUGCCUGGCAUUCAACGUGCUGGAGCGUUUCAUCUUCUGCAGGGCAAAGAGGAAGGAUGUUUUGUGGUGCGCAAAUCGUCACAAUCGGACACCAUGGCAUUAUCAGUGCGAUUACCACCCGAUAAAGGUACCUGUAUACAGGGUUCUUUA
rnacentral:lncRNA from 1 species